rnacentral:snRNA from 1 species
GUGCUCGCUUCGACAGCACGUAUACUAAGAUUGGAAAGAUACAGAAAAGCUUACCAUGUCCCCUGUGCAAGGAUGACACAUGCAAAUUCCGGAAGCUUUCCACAUUUAA